rnacentral:rRNA from 1 species
GAUAAACGCUAGCGGCGUGCCUUAUGCAUGCAAGUCGAGCGGUAUAUCGAAAGAUAUACAGCGGCAAACGGCUGAGUAACGCGUAAGCAAUCUAUCCCUAAGUGGGGAAUAAUCCGCCGAAAGGUGGACUAAUACCGCAUGUGGUAGUGGAGGUAGGUUUUCACUACUAAAGCUUUCGGGCGCUUGGGGAGGGGCUUGCGUCCUAUCAGGUAGUUGGUGGGGUAACGGCUCACCAAGCCAAUGACGGGUAGCUGGUUUGAGAGGACGUCCAGCCAGACGGGGACUGAGACACGGCCCCGACUCCUACGGGAGGCAGCAGCAAGGAAUUUUGCGCAAUGGGCGAAAGCCUGACGCAGCAACGCCGCGUGAGGGAAGAAGGCCUUCGGGUUGUAAACCUCUUUUGUCAGGGAAGAAUAAUGACGGUACCUGAUGAAUAAGUCACGGCUAACUACGUGCCAGCAGCCGCGGUAAUACGUAGGUGGCAAGCGUUAUCCGGAUUCACUGGGCGUAAAGAGCGCGUAGGUGGUCCUUCAAGUCAGAUGUUAAAUCUCCUGGCUUAACUGGGAGCUGUCAUCUGAUACUGCUGGACUUGAGGAUGGUAGAGGGAGGUGGAAUUCCCGGUGUAGUGGUGAAAUGCGUAGAUAUCGGGAGGAACACCAGUGGCGAAAGCGGCCUCCUAGGCCAUUCCUGACACUGAGGCGCGAAAGCGUGGGGAGCGAACAGGAUCAGAUACCCUGGUAGUCCACGCCCUAAACUGUGGAAACUAGGUACAGGGAGUAUCGACCCUUCCUGCGCCGUAGCUAACGCGUUAAGUUUCCCGCCUGGGGACUACGGUCGCAAGACUA